rnacentral:rRNA from 1 species
GAUGAACGCUGGCGGCGUGCCUAAUACAUGCAAGUCGAGCGAACGGACGAGGAGCUUGCUUCUCUGACGUUAGCGGCGGACGGGUGAGUAACACGUGGAUAACCUACCUAUAAGACUGGGAUAACUUCGGGAAACCGUAGCUAAUACCGGAUAAUAUUUUGAACCGCAUGGUUCAAAAGUGAAAGACGGUCUUGCUGUCACUUAUAGAUGGAUCCGCGCUGCAUUAGCUAGUUGGUAAGGUAACGGCUUACCAAGGCAACGAUGCAUAGCCGACCUGAGAGGGUGAUCGGCCACACUGGAACUGAGACACGGUCCAGACUACUACGGGAGGCAGCAGUAGGGAAUCUGCCGCAAUGGGCGAAAGCCUGACGGAGCAACGCCGCGUGAGUGAUGAAGGUCUUCGGAUCGUAAAACUCUGUUAUUAGGGAAGAACAUAUGUGUAAGUAACUGUGCACAUCUUGACGGUACCUAAUCAGAAAGCCACGGCUAACUACGUG